AACUAAGUUUGUUAUUGGUAUGAGCUUUCGUGUGCAUCCACACUGAUAUGCACAUGGUAUCUGAAGAAGUGUGCAUGCACACGAAAGCUCAUACCAAUAACAAACUUAGUUGG